rnacentral:lncRNA from 1 species
GUAAUAACCAAUUAUAUCAGUUCCUUCACUAAGGCACUAGUGAUUCUCUAUAAAGUUCCAGUGAAAAUAAAUAAAUGAUGAAAAAUGAGUACAAUAAAAAUAUUAAAAAAUGAUUAGAAAUAAAUAUUAUCUUCCAGCAGUUUCCGGCCAUAAAUAUCCUCACUUCUUUUACCCAGAAUUUCUAGUUACAAAAAAAAAAAAACUGUGGAUAACAAUUCAAACAUGAAGAUGGAAGAAAACCUAACUUUGGAUCUCAGCAAAUUACAUUAUUUGCUCUCUUUUCUUAAUCUAAUGCUUGUUUUCCAACUAUAAAAGUCCACUAGGGCAUUGAGCACAGCAUAGAAGUAUAAAUAAAACAAAUACUCGGUCUACCAAUAGGCAAAAUUCAAGCACCAACCUUUUGGCGCCUACUUCUUGUCUCGUGAUCAGGCCUAGAUCGUCCAACUUUAGACGCCAUUGCCGUCGUACACAAUACCUAUAUCAUGUCGAAACUGAGAACGCCCGCGGAAACAAAGAAAGAAAAAUCAAAAUCAUUGCAUGCCAGUUGAAAUGUCGAAAUGCUUGGUAAAAAACGACAGAAGAUAUAACCAACAAAAUGGAAUCUUAAUUUCAAGUCAAAAACAUAGUUCUAGAAAUUCAUUACUCAACAAAUUUAUAAAUUAGCCCUUUUAGCACCAGAAGUUCUCGAAUGCUGUGAUUUUUACAAGUAUUUCUCGAAUAAAUUAGAAUAACCAUCUUCUUUACAGGCGAAGCAGUAACCGAACCCGAAGAUGGAAAUGGAACAAACCGAAACUUAUAUCGGUAACUGAUCUAUGAGUCCAGAAAGUGAUGGAGAAAUAAACAGUUGUUUGGAAUACGCUGAUAGAUCCAUGGAAAUGAUCGAUGAGUUUUCCUCGAAGAAUCCCAAGUGGAGGAGAAGGAAAUGAAGACAGAGAAAGGCGCAGCUUACCAGAAGCGGCGCCGCGCCGAUGUUCCUUCGCCUAUUGAAACCCUAACAAUGGACACAGAAGUAGGGAGGACCUCUACCUUUGGGCUGGGCUUUUCUGCAGGACUAUGCUACUGUCAUGCAGUUCAACAGUCCUAAUACCAACAAUUCUCUGCUGGGUUUUAUUUCGAUUAAGUUCGCAGGAAGAAGAAGAAAAUACCAUAGAUACAAAAUAUUAUAUCUAU